GACGAACGCUGGCGGCGUGCUUAACACAUGCAAGUCGAACGGAAAGGCCCUGCGUUUGUGGGGUGCUCGAUUGGCGAACGGGGGAGUAACACGUGAGUAACCUGCCCUUGACUUUGGGAUAACUUCAGGAAACUGGGGCUAAUACCGGAGAGGAUCUCCUGCUGCAUGGUGGGGGUUGGAAAGUUUCGGCGGUUGUGGAUGUACUCGCGGCUUAUCAGCUUGUUGGGGGGGUAGUGGCUUACCAAGGUUUUGAAGGGUAGCCGGCCUGGGAGGGUGGACGGCCACCAUGGGCCUGCGGUACGGAGCAGACUCCUACGGGCCGCAGCAGUGGGGAAUAUUGCACAAUGGGCGGAAGCCUGAUGCAGCAACGCCGCGUGCGGGAUGACGGCCUUCGGGUUGUAAACCGCUUUCGCCUGUGACGAAGCGUGAGUGACGGUAAUGGGUAAAGAAGCACCGGCUAACUACGUG
rnacentral:rRNA from 1 species